GAUGAACGCUAGCGGCAGGCUUAACACAUGCAAGUCGAGCGGUAGAGAGGUGCUUGCAUCUCUUGAGAGCGGCGGACGGGUGAGUAAUGCCUAGGAAUCUGCCUAGUGGUGGGGGAUAACGUUCGGAAACGGACGCUAAUACCGCAUACGUCCUACGGGAGAAAGCGGGGGAUCUUCGGACCUCGCGCCAUUAGAUGAGCCUAGGUCGGAUUAGCUAGUUGGUGAGGUAAUGGCUCACCAAGGCGACGAUCCGUAACUGGUCUGAGAGGAUGAUCAGUCACACUGGAACUGAGACACGGUCCAGACUCCUACGGGAGGCAGCAGUGGGGAAUAUUGGACAAUGGGCGCAAGCCUGAUCCAGCAAUGCCGCGUGCAGGAUGAAGGCCUCGGUUGUAAC
rnacentral:rRNA from 1 species